rnacentral:tRNA from 1 species
ACCUGGGUGGCUCAGUUGGUUAAGUGUCUGACUUUGUCUCAGAUCAUGGUCUCAGGGUUUGUGGGUUCAAGCCCCACGUAAGGUU